UAGGGGUGUGCAUUGGACCCGGGAACCGCCCGGACCGCCCGGAACCGGACCGGAACCGCCCGGAACCGGCGGUUCUUGAGGGAACCGGUCCGGUUCCCGGGUCCAAUUGUUGAGAACCGGUGAGAACCGGUCCGGUUCCCGGUUCCGUGGGCGGAUCCGCCCGCCCGCCCACCCGGACCGGACCGGUACUAUUUAUAAUUAAAAAAAAAAAAAACAAAAGUCGCGAACGAAGCCCCCUGCCCCUAAUUCGCGAAGCCCUAAUCGCGUUUCUUCUUCUUCAACCUCCGACUCUCUCUGUAACUUCCUUUCCUUCUCUUCAUCUUCGAUUCCACGGUCCCAUCGGGUUUCCUUCUCUUCGUCUUCGAUUCCACGGUCCCACGGUCCACCCCGAGUAUCCACGCCGCCGCCGCUGCUCCUCCUCUGCCACUGUCCGCCCCCGUCGCACCGGUCACCACUCGCCAGCGGCCAACCGCUGCUCCUCCGCCUCUGCAAGAACACUUGACCGAGCCGGCGAGCCCCUUUUCCGUCACUCAACAAGGUAAGAAGCCCUAAUUUGCUUCUCAUCUCUUGAUUCUCUUCCGAUUUCUUCCUCAGUUUUUGAUUAUCUCUCUGUUUCUUCCUCAAUCUCUUCUCCUCGUCUUCGAUUCCUCACCAAGCAUUCACGCCGCCGCCGCUGCUCCUCCUCCGCCACUGUCCGCCCCCGUCGCGCCUUUAGUCUCUCUCUCUCUCUCUUCGCGCGGGAGUGCGUAGGUGGGAUGCGAAGGAUCUUGAUCNNNN
rnacentral:lncRNA from 1 species